GAGAGGGGUCUUGAGAAUUAGAAAAGGGAUGGUCGGGAGGAUACAAGCCAACUUUUAACCCCCCCACCCCUCUGAGCCUCUUUGUCAGUGGAAAUAGCCCCCCUGCCUGCCUGAGAUCAGUCUUCUCCUGCUUGAAGUCCUAUUAAUGAGCUCAUCCGUGCUUACCUGGCAACAGGGAUGCUGAGUCUUCUCAAGACUCACCCCCUCAUUAACUCCAAUCCAUAACCGGAGUCAGAUCCCAGCAUGCCCCAGGGAAGCAACAGCAAAGCCCGAUUUAGGAGAUGUUCACACAGGGAAAGAAUUGCAGCACAUUCAUGCAUUUAUCAUCAGAAACUUGGGGAGUGUGAGGUGAAUGGAUUCUAACGGCACUGGUCCAGGUGGACAGAGCUUAAUGUAGGUUUGGGCUGAAUUUAUCAAUAUAGCCGAUUUACCAGAGAUUCUGGAUUCGGCGUGUGUUUGCUCCAACAGCUAGGAGCGGCUUGAUCAGCUUGCUUAGCUAAGCCAGUGGAGUGAGGUGUGGAGUGACCUGCACUGGUGGCUCUCUGACCUUUAAAGACACCUUGAGCAGCAUCUCAGUGUGCUGCUCUGAUCCAUUCACGAGAUGACUCUGCAGCUCUAGGCCAGGGUGUCUGUGGUAAGAAGUUCUGGCAGAUCCCAGUAACAGAGUCAUAGCACAGACUCUCAGGGGCUUGGAGCAAAGAUACAUCUUCUGCAAAUAACUAUUCUCCAUCUGAACCACAGCUCCAGAUUUUCUGCCGGACACUGGUAGAGACCAAAUGCCCGACCCCACGUGAGUGGUGAGCUGAGCUGGGUGUGGCGUGCUUCACUGAGCCACAUGCCACACUCCACCAUCGAGGGGAGGUCGAUGUGGACGAUGCUAUCAGCCUUGAGCAGGUCCCAGAAGCACAAGAAAGACACUGUCCCUGCUCUGAUGGAGCCAGUGGGGGUGAGAGAUGUCAUUCAAGUAACAGCAGAAGUGCACACAGUCAGGAACCGUGAUCAGCCUCCUGAAGAAAAGGCACAGGGGGCCCCGAGAAGUAAGAGGCGGAGACGCUUGGUGGGGCAAGCUGUCUUAGCCCUACUUUCUAGAUGGUGACACAAAGGCUCAGGGCAGCCCUACGGCUUGCCUGGAGUCACGUGACACAGAAGAGGCAGAGUUAAGUUUCAAAUUCAGAGUUCGCUGACUCCAAAGACUGGAUUCUUUCUACUAGGUGAGUCGUCUUGUUCUUCCUGUAUCUUUUUUUGACUCACUCACAAGCUUUACUCUGUGAAACUUGGCCCCCAGAACACUCCCUUGUCUCAUCUGAACUGCAGCUGUAAGGCCUACACCUCUACUGCGAAAGUUUGGGAAUUUAAAAAAUUUUUCCAUAUUCCUCCACUAUCCCAGCCCCAUGAUUUUAACGUGUGUGUAAAUUCCCUCCCAAGCAUUUACCACUUGCAGCUAUAUUUCAUGUGUUACCUUCUUGCUCUUUGCCCAAUU